GGAAAAUAUGGAAUUAUCAGAUGCCAGUGUUUCUUCCUCAGAGCUACCUGAUUCAACAGUUGAUGAAUCCCAAAGCAGGAAACGCUUCAUAAGUUCAAGUUCUGAUGAGGAUGAUGACUGUGAUUUAGCUAAAAGAAAAUGUGAGGAAGACCGGGUGGUUUCCGAAUCAGCUAACAGGCUUUUGGAAACACUUUCAUCAGAACCAGCAAUACCAUCCUCUGAGCAGGGGGUUACAGAAAAUUCAUCAGGGGCAGCUAAAGAAGAAGAAGUGAAGUCACCAUCUAUCGCUGCUAUUUGGAAGCUAUGCUGCGUAGCAUCAAGCCAGCUACAAGAGACCCCUGAAAUGAGUGCUAUUCAACGCCCAGGCCAUGUGAUUAUGUCAAGCAUUCUUGGAUUGGAUGUCAAGACUGAAACAGGGAAUGUAGAGCAGAAGACGGUCAUGUUGGAGACCGCCAAAGCAACCGUUUACGGGAUAUUAGAUCACUGUUUAAACGAAAUAUUAUUUGAGGCGUGUCCGGGUUGUCAGAUUUUUGCAGGGAAUCAGAUGAGUCAUGAAUGUGUGUUAUGGAACAACAAAUUCCUAAGCAAAAAAUUGAAGGAUAUUUGUGGAAAUUUAUGCUUCAUAAAUACCCUUCAUAUUUUACUUUUGAUAGGUUACUGUCAAAACUCUCUGUAUAUGACCUCUGAAAUAUUGGACUACAUUAUGAAUUUGGUAACAUAUAUUGGCCAAACUGAUAAGGCUAUUAAAGUUCUAAAUGCUGGAUUGAAGAGUUGCAACCAGGAGAUUCUGCAGCAAGUCAAAACUGUGCUAAAAAACCGUCCAUACAAACAUUAUGUCAAAUUUUGGCCUAUUAUAACUAAUUUUAAGAAAGAGUAAAACUUGCAGCUAUUGAUGACUGUUUUUAAAAAUUCAAAAAAGUGUGUUACAUUGAAAUAAAAUAUAUGGUACUUUCAAUAAUGGGAUAAAAUAAAAUGGAUUUAAAAACAACA
rnacentral:lncRNA from 11 species